rnacentral:lncRNA from 1 species
AACAUGUAAGUACGCCGAGAUAUCUUUCUGGGCCCAGUUUCAAUGGCAGAUGGAACAACGUCUCUGUACCAUGCUUAUGUGUUCAAUCUCAAAAAGUUGUGUCGAUGACUCUGGCAGACGCUUCUGAGCAUGGAGAUGCGGAGCACGGCCAUGUGCCCAUAUAUUUUUGUACAGAAAAAUAAUCCUACUCUCAAUUGUUAUUUUAUCUUCCAGACUCACAAAAUAAAGCAAAAGGCAGCGGAAACAAACAGGAAAAGUCUUGCGCUCGACGCACGGCAACUUACGCAGGAUCAGCCCUUGCGCUGUUCGGAUUCUUAAUGUGCAUCUGUUUGGUAGCGUUUUUCCCGAUGACUAUGGGUUUUGACAACACGUUCGAAGAAAGUCAUGACAAAGCUACAAAAAUGUUCGCGAUUUUCGGUUUGGGAAUGGUGUGCUGCGUUUUUGGUUGUAUUAUAGCAGCGUGCGGAAGCGGGACACGAUAUCCCACGAGAAGGAUAAUCAUAGUCCGUGGCGACGAUGAUUCAGUAUGAGCUGAACCAUUUGCUUCCGGCGAAAUGUUUCGAUUGACCUCUGAUCAUUGCUUAUGGAAACUGCGAUUCAAAAAUAAUUGAGCGCUCCUCAUACAAUAACAAAAUAACUUCUACCCCCAUUCGUUUAUAUUUAUUUAUAUAUAUAUAAUAUAUAUAUAUAUAUAUAUAUAUAUAUAUAUAUAUAUAUAUAUAUAUAUAUAUAUAUAUAUAUAUAUAUAUAUAUAUAUAUAUAUAUAUAUAUAUAUAUAUAUAUAUAUAUAUAUAUAUAUAUAUAUAUAUAUAUAUAUAUAUAUAUAUAUAUAUAACAGAGUGAGUAUUGGCAAAAUAUUAUAAAUGCAAAACAAUCAUUGCGAGCAAAUAAGCCAAACAAAAGUUAUUAUGGCAACAAAAUCAGGGCAUUUAUUACAAAUAACACAAGAUUUUACUGUAAACAAGGUGGAAGAUUACGUACCAAACGUUUCGACAUUCUAACAUAUGUCUUCAUCAGUGGUAAACGAAACAAUCAAACAAAGUAACAAAGAACAUUACAUUAAAAAGGCCCGAGGCAAGCAGAAAUACAAUUACAUGGUUGUGAGAAAUACAAAACAGUUGGUGAAAAUUACAAAAACGUACAGGAAAAAGGUCUAGCGUGCUAAAGUACAAGUGAGCAAAAAACAAAAUUCCAUAACCUCGAACUAAGGUCAACAAAUAAAACUAAAACGGUACAUGCAGCACACUCUGCAGUGAAAAAGAGGAAGCACUACUAAGUUAAGAUAUUAAGGUGAUUCCAAGUGAUCUAGGGACGGCAACCGCCACCACGUAGCGCUGCUACGUGAGUGAGUCUUCAGGAAGGAAUUGUCGUCGCCACUUUGAUUUUUAUGAAGGAAAUCGAUCCAUAACGUGUAGCCGCAUAAAUUCUGAGCACAAUGAUACCAAAUUUGUCAAGAAUUAUUGCAAAAAUAUACCCGAAAGUACGGGAACGGAUUUAACAUAGGGAUCGUAAUGAGUAAGAGAGAGAUAGCAAAUGCCGAUGUUAGCUACAUGGCUGCCGUUGCCUAGCAACGCGUACGUUCAGCUAUCGCCCCAUGUCAACAGUUUUGUGUUUUGGUAAUAUUUCGACUCCGUCGGUUCUCUUCCUUCUUUUCACGAACUGAAACCAACGCAGCCCACUCUCGAAAGUUAGAAGUUAGAAAUACCACAUUAGUCAGCUUCAGCCGCACUAGAUCUGUCGUAAAAUUCAUUAGCUAUUGAUUUCGAGGCAAGUUCAAAUGAAAUUUGUGCUGAUACCAUCAAUCAUGUAACAUUCAUUAUCUGUUAUCAUAUAAGUUUAGAGGUUACUAAUGAACGGUUCCUCGAUGUAUGUACAUAAUAUCUUUUCCGACUUAUGUUUGACGUGAAAAAUUUAGUGAACCAUCGCUCAAUUGUGAUGCUUGGUAUUUCAGUCUCCUACCGCCUUCCAUUUUCGAAUCCAGAUUGUAAUGUUGAUACGUCGCCAAUGGUUUUGUUUGACGAGUGAAAACCUACUCACCUUCAUGCAGAUGCUUUCACAAGCUUCUGAGAUUUUCAUAGGGUGUCUGCUUCAAAUUUUCGCCCCAAUGGUGAUCUUUUUAAUAAUUACUGUGCAACUCAUAAUCAAACGAUUGGCCGACCCAUAGGAAGCCCACCCGUUGGGGCCUGGCUUUUCCCUUAGAGGGGGAGAGUAUCCAUGUAACUGAAUAAGGCUAGUGAUGUGCUAAUGUGAAAUGAUUUUCAAAUGCAUGGCCAGUGCAUCUCCAACAUCAUGUGAUCAAGAGUGCUUUCGGGUCUUUCCAAAGGUCAGUUAGUAAGUUACAAGAACAUGACAUUCGAAAGGCCCGCUGACACUACUUUCUCUCAUCAAAAUCCUAAUGUUUACGAUGCACCCAGUGCUGAAUUACCAGUCUUCAAGACUUUGUUAGAUACCAAAAUUCAAUCAGAACUGGAGGUAGGUACAAAUUUACUUCGGUAAGUUAGUAUAGUUACUCAACCAGAUAUUAACUUACUUCGCAUGAAUCACUAAUUGAAAUCCAUAUUGUCCUCGGAAAUUCAUUUCUUCCAUGCUUGGAUGAAAUAACUGUAUUUGAAUCAUACAUAUUUAAAUCUGAGCUUAGUUUCAUCCAUGGAAAUUUCCGUUAUUUUAUAUCCAAUCUUCAAUUAAAUUUGCAGUUUCACUGACAAUGACUUCUCCUUUUCUGUCUCGUCUUUGUCAUUCUUUGAAGAUCUGGAAAUUCUUCUUAGAAGAACAUGUCAAAUAUUUGAACACUAUAUGGAAAAGCGAGGGUCACACAGAAUAUUGCAGCACACUGUGAAAUAAAGACUGGAAGAAAAGUGUGCCAGCUUACCUCCUUUUAAAUUUUCUGUCAAGAUUUUAAUAAAUAUUUUUUCAUUUACACAAAUUCGUCUCGUUUUCUUUCCAUUACAUUUUUAAGAACAUUAACUGACCUUAGAGACUGACACAUAGUAAGGAAAUCCUAUUUAUCCCUAAUGAAAUGAGUCGCAAAUCCUAAGUAUCAUGCUGAGGCUAACUUGUUAGUCGCAAUCUGCUUAUCUUCUUCCUUGACCUUUUUUACAGAAUGAUGAGUAUCAAUUUGACCAAACGUCUUCCUCAGCAGCGAAGUUGAAAGCUGAAAAAACAUGAACAGCGCUCUGCGUCUUUGAUUGCUUUCCUUCUCCAGUGACUCCAUUUUUUUUUAAAAAACCUUAGAAUGAUUCCAAUUUCUUUCGCUUCACUCCCUGGCAUGGAAUGAAAAGUUUAUUAAAAACAUAAGUAUGGAAAUUCCCCAUCAAAGUCAAGAGCAGAGAAAGGAAACGUAGAAAAAAAAAUUUCGCUCGCCAGAAUGAUUAUUCAGAGAUACAAACCCCCCCAAUUGGAAGAGAAAAAAUGUUGUGAGUCAUAAUAGAAUGUAAUUAGAAACAGCUGCACAUAAUUUAUAUUACAAUUACUAAGCAGGAUUCAUUUAGGCUAUGAUUUCAAAAAUAGUUUCGAUGCAUGGUCAAUUGGAAGUUUCGGUUCAAAAAGUGGAGAAAUGAAUGACUACAAUUGUUAGAAUAACGCUUUAUUUAUUAAUUGACAAUAUGUACUGAUUGACUUAUAAAUUUUACCGCAAAUGGAUUUCAUUUAUGCCUAUAUCAUCCUUCUUUCCAGAAAAUACUUCACACAGAGAACAAAAGUCUGGAGAUUCAAUAAAAA